UACGUAGGGUGCGAGCGUUGUCCGGAAUUAUUGGGCGUAAAGAGCUCGUAGGCGGCUUGUCACGUCGGGUGUGAAAGCCCGGGGCUUAACCCCGGGUCUGCAUUCGAUACGGGCUAGCUAGAGUGUGGUAGGGGAGAUCGGAAUUCCUGGUGUAGCGGUGAAAUGCGCAGAUAUCAGGAGGAACACCGGUGGCGAAGGCGGAUCUCUGGGCCAUUACUGACGCUGAGGAGCGAAAGCGUGGGGAGCGAACAGG
rnacentral:rRNA from 1 species